rnacentral:tRNA from 1 species
UAAGUAGUAGUUUACAUAAAACGUUAAGUUGCAAACUUAAAGAAGAAUGAAUUUCCUACUUUU